rnacentral:rRNA from 1 species
UACGGAGGGUGCGAGCGUUGUCCGGAAUUACUGGGCGUAAAGCGUGCGCAGGCGGUUUGUUAAGUCCGUUGUGAAAGCCCCGAGCUCAACUUGGGAAUUGCAGUGGAUACUGGCAGGCUGGAGUACGGUAGAGGAAGGUGGAAUUCCCGGUGUAGCAGUGAAAUGCGUAGAUAUCGGGAGGAACACCAGUGGCGAAGGCGGCCUUCUGGACCAGUACUGACGCUCAUGCACGAAAGCGUGGGGAGCAAACAGG